rnacentral:rRNA from 1 species
UUAAAAUUGUUGCAGUUAAAACGCUCGUAGUUGAAUUUCAAAGAGUCAUGGCGUUUCUGAGGUGCUCCUUGGUCGAUCUGCCCAGCACUGACUCUAUGAUUUUAUUGUAGAGCAGUGUGACUGGGUGUUCGAUUUCAAGAAAGUGUCUCCUUUACAAAGUGAUUUUUCUAAGGGUCUCUUGAGUACCAGUCCUUGGGAGGUUCUUUUUACCUUGAGUAAAUUAGAGUGUUUAAAGCAAACAGAUAGAACAGUUUACUGUGUUUAAAUACUACAGCAUGGAAUAAUAAUAUCGAAUGAGCCGACGUACUUUUCGUUUCUUUGUUAUUUUGGCUUAGUUACGAUUAACAGGAAUAGUUGGGGGCAUUUGUAUUCAGAUGUCAGAGGUGAAAUUCUAAGAUUAUCUGGAGACGAACAAUUGCGAAAGCAUCUGUCUAACAUAUUUUCAUUAAUCAAGAACGAAAGUUAAGGGAGUGAAGACGAUCAGAUACCGUCGUAAUCUUAACCAUAAACUAUGCCAACUAUGUUUUGGAUGUAUGAGAAAAAGAUGGAAUACUUUGUUUUACGACAUUGUCAUUCCAUUUAUGCUUCAUUCAGUACCUUAGAGAAAUCAAAGUCUUUGGGUUCUGGGGCGAGUAUUCGCGCAAGCGAGAAAGUUAAAAGAAUUGACGGAAGGGCACCACCAGACGUGGAGCUUGCGGCUUAAUUUGACUCAACACGGGAAAACUCACUAGUAUAAGACAAGAGUAGGAUUGACAGAUUAAUAGCUCUUUCUUGAUUUCUUGGAUGGUGAUGCAUGGCCGUUUUUAGUUCGUGAAUAUGAUUUGUCUGGUUAAUUCCGAUAACGAACGAGACCUUAACCUGCUAGUUAGCGGCCGGUAUGUCGCGAAUUUAUCAAAAUCUUAUCUCGUAGGCUGGAUUAUUUUUAGAAGAUAUGACGGAUAACCGAGUCGAGUGUCGUCCCCAUCACUGUUCUAUUAAUUCGCAGUCUGUCCUGGUUUUUUUUUAGGUAAGUAUGUAUCCGCUUGAAUGUAAGCUUCUUAGAGGUACGAUGUGUGCUUAACACAAGGAAGUUUAAGGCAACAACAGG